rnacentral:rRNA from 1 species
UCGAGGGGUAUAAGUAGCAAUACUUAGAGACCGGCGCACGGGUGAGUAACGCGUAUGCAACCUGCCCUUUACUGGAGGAUAGCCCGUAGAAAUGCGGAUUAAUACCCCAUAGUAAUGUUGGAUCGCAUGAUCUGGCAUUUAAAGUUUCGGCGGUAAAGGAUGGGCAUGCGUGACAUUAGCUAGUUGGAGAGGUAACGGCUCACCAAGGCUUCGAUGUCUAGGGGUUCUGAGAGGAAGAUCCCCCACACUGGUACUGAGACACGGACCAGACUCCUACGGGAGGCAGCAGUGAGGAAUAUUGGUCAAUGGGCGAGAGCCUGAACCAGCCAUCCCGCGUGCAGGAAGAAUGCCCUAUGGGUUGUAAACUGCUUUUUCGCAUGAAGAACACCCCUGACGUGUCAGGGGCUGACGGUAAUGCGUGAAUAAGCACCGGCUAACUCCGUGCCAGCAGCCGCGGUAAUACGGAGGGUGCAAGCGUUAUCCGGAUUUAUUGGGUUUAAAGGGUGCGUAGGCGGCUAUUUAAGUCAGUGGUGAAAUCCUGCAGCUUAACUGUAGAACAGCCAUUGAAACUGAAUAGCUUGAGUGAUCUUGAGGUAGGCGGAAUGUGUAGUGUAGCGGUGAAAUGCUUAGAUAUUACACAGAACACCGAUUGCGAAGGCAGCUUACUAAGGAUUUACUGACGCUGAUGCACGAAAGCGUGGGGAUCAAACAGGAUUAGAUACCCUGGUAGUCCACGCCGUAAACGAUGAUAACUCGCUGUUGGCGAUACACAGUCAGCGGCUUAGCGAAAGCGUUAAGUUAUCCACCUGGGGAG